rnacentral:tRNA from 1 species
GCCUGGGUGGCUCAGUUGGUUGAGCCUCCAGCUUUGGCUCAGAUUAUGAUCUUGUGGUUUGUGGGUUCAAACCCCACACCAGGCU